ensembl:antisense Gm17141 predicted gene 17141
GUGAUAAGCAAGUGCAGAGCCACAGCCACGAGGAUAAUGAUUCUUAGAGGAGGGGGGAGCAGCUAGUGAGGAUCUGGGAGGGGAUGUGUGGGGGUUCCCUCACCCCCCCCCCCCAGCAGACUCUCAGCGAAUGGCAUACCUAAGGAGAUGCUUGCUGCCAGCCUUUCAAAGGCCUAUGACGAUAACCCACAAGCACGCACCUGGGCUAAGAUCAUCAUGCGGGUGAAAGCAGUUUGAGAUACAGACACAUCUUGGCAGCGUAUCCUGUGCCAAGGAGCAGUCCCAGAGCUGUCAGCAGGAAGAGGCUGAGGAAGCAGGCAAACCUCCUGGCGGAGAAGGAGGAUCACACAGAUACAGGUCUCUCAGAGGUGCAUACAGCAGGUUUACUGACUCUCGUCUGGUCCUCACCAUCCAGGAAGCUCAGUAGUCCACACAGAUCCACAGCUCAUGCAUGCAGAGAUAGACUUGCCACUCCACGGAGACUACAGUGCCUGGAAUAUCAGCCUCCCAUCCUGUUUCCUGGGUCUUGCUUGGUCUGGUCAUACUAUGUACUUCCUGAUGAGACUUUUGGACUUCUGUGCACCCUGUAGCUGUGGCCCCUCAAGGUUCUGGGUUCCCACUCAAGGCACUACCUCGAAUACAGAGCUCACCAACCUUAAAAACUGAAAAGCCAAGACACCCUUUCAGGGACCAGGUUCAUGACAGUGGACCACAAUUCCAACAGGUAUCAGAAGGUCAGACUGAGACUCUAGGUUUCACCAUGAGAUCUGGUACUUCAGUAAUGUCACCUCCUCCUUACGCCCGCAUUAUGUACCCUUCCCUCAUUCCCGCUGGGAAGAAGGUCUCCACGGGAAAGCAAGUGCACCAGGCUUACCUCUCGGAGCUGCUGCACGCCUCCAAAAAUCCGCAUCACACCGUCAAUCUCCUGCUCCAGGCGCCGGGCCCAGUGCUGCAUCCUGCAAUCCAGAGGAGAAAGAUGUCAGGAGGGCCUGCUGGAGCUGCAGCUGCAACAACCAAUUCCUGGCCACCCAGGGGGACCAGGACAGCUACUCACUCAACUCAAUUUUCACCAGAGAGGGAACAGACACAGGAACCAGAGUGAGCCUGUGAUUUUUUUCCCUUUGAAGUCUGGCCUGGUGGCCUAGGCUUUCCUUACUGUGACUGGCAGCCAGGGAGGAGAGGAAAGGGCAUUGUGGAUUAGCCAAGGGAGUUAAGUAGGUUGGAAGAAGCCUGCAGGGAGACUAUUGUUCACUAUAAAGACAAGUCCUUAGAUGUGUCUGUUCUGAAAGUGGGGACACCAGGGAGGACAGAGACAAGACAGGUGAAGUUUGAGGAAAGGGAAGGGAUACUGCUGUCACCUCCAACCCAUUAUGUAAACAGGAGGAGGUAGAGGUAACCUGCCUCCUGGGCCUCACCUGAGCAGAAGACAGAGCACUUCCAACUCAGAUGGUCCUUGCCUUUCUAGUUCCCUAGUAGGAGAUGUUCAUCAGAGACCCAAGGCUGGAUGUCUGCCGUGAGCCCCCCCCCCCCCCCNNNNNNNNNNNNNNNNNNNNNNNGGUUUCAGUACAAAUCAUCCCGUCCCUUUCUGGAGGUCUGGCAAGCAGAGGCUCUGAACUGCAGGCCUGGACAGGUAUGCUGGUACCACCACAGGACCAUUUAACACCAUCUCUGUCUCUCUCAGCUUCCUCUUCUGGAAUGUGGAGAUAAUUUGGGGUCAUCUCUUAGAGUGGCACAAGAAAACAUAAGACCAUGGGAGGAUAUAGCCAAGGAUGCUGUAAAGGAAUCUCUGUAAGUGGACCAGACGAACAGGUGUCUGGAUGGUCUUGGCAUGCUGGAGCCCCAUAUGGGACACACCACAGAGACAUAAAGAAGCCACGGGUUCACAGGCCACAGUGGACUAGGAUGAUGUCAGAAAAGUUGCAACUGUCCCCCAAAACCUAAUUAGGACCAACAGCAUCCCCUAAGGUCACCUAGGGCCAGGACUCUCUUCUGGCUCCUUGUCCCACACUCCUUCUCAGGCCUGUGCUGGGGGGUUGGGCUCAUGCCAUUGUGUGUGCCCGGGUCGGUUGGCAUGGGAACUCAGAGCAGGAGGCGGGCAGAUCACUAAUUGCAAUUUGCCAAGCUGAAUGUCAGGACCGUGAUGGGGAAAAAAAAAUCAACAUCAAAAGAAAGAGGCAUUAGCUUCAGCUUGUUGUGGGCUGAGCCACAGCCUGACUCCCCAACUCUGUUCCCCACCAUAGAGGAAAAAAAAAAUCUAACCUCAACUGGUGUAGAGGACAGGCUGUAAGCUCAGCUGCCAGCUCGGGAGAGAAAGGUACCAGAGAGCAUCAGCAUCUCAGCCUGACCCCCGUCUGCCCGCCAGCACUGAUGUUCUGGCCCUGGUGGCACUUGGACAAUGUGGCAGGUGGCUCUUUUGUAAUCCCGAGACUACAGACUCUUGGGGGCUAAUAAUGGGACAGAGUCUCACACCGUCCUAUAUCUGGAAAGAACGGGCAGGGUCAAGGACCCAGCUUCAAAAAGACCCAUUGGCUCUGCCCUGACCCUAAACCUGACCUCGUCCAUUCAUUGGUUUAGGACAUAGACUACCCAUCAUAAUCCUUCCUGCAUGAGUCUACAGAAGGGUGCCCACUAUGUACAAAGCACAGUACCAGCUUCGAGCUUCACGGAGGCAAGCAAAAUCCCCAAAUCCCAGGUGAGGAAGCUGAGACACUAUCCAAGGUCAUUCAUUCAGGAAGGGGUGGGCAUGAGACUCGUUACAGUUUUCUGGAGUCUCAGGAAUGGACACAGGAGAGCCAACCGUGUUCAUCUCUUUCCAGUUCAGCACAUCAGUUUCAGUGAUUGAAAUCAGCCGCAGAGGGGACACUUACACCACAGGAAAAGGCAAAGGCCAGCAAUCACAGCCCCACCCCAACCCCCACCCCAGUGGCAAACAGAGACGCAUCUUGAAAUUCUUUGAGAAUUUCUUACAAUGUAUUCUGGUCAUAUUUACCCCUCCACCUCCUCCCAUAUCUAUCCCUACCUCCCGACUUUAUUUAUUUAUUUAUUUACCUAUUUAUUUAUUAUUUAAUUUUAGGCAGGGUCUUGCUAUGUAGCUCUAGCCAGCCUGGAACUUUCUAUGUAGACCAGAUCUGAUUCACCUACUUCUACUUCCUGAGCAGAGAGAUUAAAGUUGUGUUCCACCA